UUCAGCUGUUGAGGAAAGACAAUAACCAGGCUUGAAACCAGCAGUCGCUGAAUAAACGCGCUUCACUCAACAGUUCCAGGGAUGUUACAGAAUGUCCACAGACAUUCAGAUUACUGAGCAAGAAAGCGAUCAGAUCCAUGGAACACCCACGUCCUACUUUCUCCUACACGCAAGUAGCUUUGGCAUUUCUUGAGCCGCAGGCGCCUUAGGAACAUCAUGCAAGAUUUUUCUUUUUUUUUUAGGAACCCCGUUAAAUCAAGAUGUCACUGAAAUAAUUUUGCCACUCUGGGCUGCAGACCUCACCAGCAGCUGCCCCCUUGCUUGGCCCCGAAGACGCCAACGCAAGAAAUGAGAUCAAACUGAGACAAGCUGUUAUCACGCCAUCUGAUGGAAACUCCUGGAACAAUACGGAGCCAGACCAGUUUUGGAGGCAUCAGAACAAGGCAUUCCGGCUGGUUUAUUAUGAUUCCCCUUCGGUUCAACAUGUGUAUUUAUUUAUUUCAUUUUUACAUCAUCACCUCCCAAUUCCAGCUUAUUCUGUUCCAUUCCAGAGGAGUUCUAACUGGGAAGCAGUUAAUAAAAGCUUUGUUUUAAUUUUUGUUCCAAAAUAUUGCUCCCAGCUUUCUCCAAUGUAUCUGUUCUAUUUAUGUGACCAUUUGUUUUCUAAAGGGGCCAUUCCAAAGCACUCCAUUCCGUGUUUCACACAAUCAUUCCUUACCCAGGUAUGUGCUGCGCUGUAGAUUAUGGAUAUAAACACUACCUUGGGCAAACGUUGGAAAGGUGUGGUGAUUAAACAAAGAACAUUUUGUCCCCUUAAAA